UGAAGGAGGAAUCGCUAGUAAUCGCAGGUCAGCAUACUGCGGUGAAUACGUUCCCGGGCCUUGUACACACCGCCCGUCACACCAUGGAAGUUGGCCACGCCCGAAGCCGUUACUCCAACCCUUGUGGAGGAGGACGUCGAAGGUGGGGCUGAUGACUGGGGUGAAGUCGUAACAAGGUAGCCGUACCGGAAGGUGCGGCUGGAUCACCUCCUAA
rnacentral:rRNA from 1 species